AGGAAGGCAGGCAACAAGAAGUCAAUUAAGAACCAAGAUCAUUUGUCCGGCUGAAAGCACUUGUGCGCAAUAGAGCAUUUCCUGAAGGUUCAAUUGCUGAAGGGUAUCUUGCCCAAGAAUGCUUGACCUUUUGUUCAAGAUUUCUAGAAGGAACUACACGUUUUACAAGACCAUCAAGAAACCCUGCUCCAUCAGAAAAGAUAAAAGAUUUGUACAUGUUCAAUAGUGCUGGUGAACCAAUUGGAAAGGCUAUCCCGGUUGGGCAGUUUAAUAGCCGUCUUCUAAUUCAAGCACAUCGAUAUGUCUUACGACAUUGUGAUGAACUUGCAGAUUUCCGCAAAGAAUUUGUGGCCGAAGAGAAUAGCAAACGAUGUGAGUCAGCUAAAUUGACAGAAGCUGAUAGCACUAAGUUAAUUAAUGGACACUUUGCU